rnacentral:tRNA from 1 species
AAGUUUAGGGCAAUAUACGCCUAGUUCGGAUUUGCACUCCAAAAGACUAAACUUGGAAAGGGGGUGGUGGACCCGUCUGC